UACGUAGGGCGCAAGCGUUGUCCGGAAUUAUUGGGCGUAAAGAGCUCGUAGGUGGUUUGUUACGUCCGCUGUGAAAACCUAGGGCUUAACCCUGGGCCUGCAGUGGAUACGGGCAGACUAGAGGUAGGUAGGGGAGAUCGGAAUUCCUGGUGUAGCGGUGGAAUGCGCAGAUAUCAGGAGGAACACCGGUGGCGAAGGCGGAUCUCUGGGCCAUAACUGACGCUGAGGAGCGAAAGCAUGGGGAGCGAACAGG
rnacentral:rRNA from 1 species